rnacentral:misc_RNA from 1 species
CGUGCGUGCAUUGGUUGCACCUCUUGCUUCGUUGGCACGCUUGUAUUGCUGAGGUCGCCCGCAGCACGUAGCUCCGUGGACCCGAUUGUUUGGGUGCCUGCGAACAUACAUCAGCAGGUGUGAGGCUGCGCGCAUGCACGCGCAAGGCAGUGGACGAAAUGGAAAAAGAGCACAAGAGCAUCUGCUGGCGGCCAAAGAAUGCGCUCAUCGAGUGCGUCGUCAUGACCAAGUGCUUCCAGGAGAAGGAAAGUGUGGAGGACUGCAUCGGGGCGAACGACUGCUUUCUCGAGCGUCGCAACUGGACGCUGUGCAAGAUGAACGCCGUCAACCCACGGUAUCGACUCCGUGGCAAUCCGUACGAUCUGGCCACCGAGGACCAGAAGAAGAUCGAAGCGCGUAAUGAGCGCAUCCGACAACGUGAACUGGAGGAGGAGGGCAUCUUCACCAAGUAGCGCGUUCCAAAACAAGCAAGCAGAGGAGUGUGGCUGACUCUUUCGGAAUGCACCGGUCAGUGCGCGUGUGCAUCUAUUCUUUAGACGGAUGAUGCGCACUGGCACAGCUGCCAGUCGUCGCUGCUUGUGGUCUGUUUUCUUUCCUACGUGUGCCGGCCAGGCGGUCACAUGCUCUUCUCCCCUCUCACCCCCUCACGGCACCCGGGGAUGAGGGACUAUUUCUUAUUCGGUAUGGCGUAGACUGCGGUUUAAUGUCUCCUCUUCGGCAUCGCGUCUACGGUGUUGCGUGUGCAACGUGUUUUUUUUUCGUUGUUGUUGUUUUGCUGUUUGUCGAUUCCUUUCGUUCUUCUCGUUCAAGAUGCUGUCCCUCAUCCAUCUCGCGUCUUGUUCGCUGUUGCCGAGAGUAACUUUCAUGCCCGUCUCAAAGCGCUUCAACGGUGCGCGGAGGUGUACUUCGAUGUGCCUGAGGCCACCACGACUUCGGAAGCGGCGACUUUCCCCGCGGCGCUGGGACGUGGGUUGCACUGGCGGAUGAACAUCCGCUUCCGUGGUUGCAAGAGUGGGUGAAUGAGGCGCGGUCGAGCGGUGGGUGGGCCAGGAGGACGGCCGGCGCGCAUCUCUCCCUCUCUAUGAGGGUGGGUGCACCCACUGGCACCGUGCUCUUCGCUCUACGCCCGCCCUCUUCCCCCACCAUUUCCAUCCCUUUGGUGUUGUGUUAUCCACAAUUCGCUCAUUGCUGGUUCGUGCGUGACACCUCUUGAACUCAUUUCUGUAUUGCGCCCUCUCUCUCGCUUCGCGGUAG